rnacentral:rRNA from 1 species
UACGAGGGGGUGCAAACGUUGCUCGGAAUCAUUGGGCGUAAAGCGCACGUAGGCGGUCUGUUAUGUCGGAUGUGAAAGCCCUUGGCUCAACUGAGGAAGUGCAUCCGAAACUGGCAGGCUAGAGUACUAAAGAGGGUCGCGGAAUUCCCGGUGGUAGAGGUGAAAUUCGUAGAUAUCGGGAGGAACACCGGUGGCGAAGGCGGCGACCUGGGUAGAUACUGACGCUGAGGUGCGAAAGCGUGGGGAGCAAACAGG